ACUCGGGUGCUGCCUGAGUUAUCAGAUCAACCAUCACAGUAUCCACAGCGCUGUGUUCAAGGAACUCUUAUUUUACAUGGUUAUAACCCCCAACCACAAGAGGAGUGAUGCUGACAAUUCGGAUCUGCCUAAGAAAAGCCAUAAAGUCCUUCCUUUAAGUGAAAAGUGAAAGUUCUCGACUUAAUAAGGAAGGAAAAAAAUAACUUCAUGCUGAGGUUGCUAAGAUCUAUGAUAAGAAGGAAUCUUCUAUCUGUGAAAUUGUGAAGAAGGAAAAAGAAAUUUGUGCUAGUUUUGCUGCUGCAAAAGCUACUGCCACAGUGCACGGAAAUGCCUCUUGAAUGGGAGAAGCUGCUGCUCCCCCAAAUUGCUGGGGAAGAAAGGGAGUUCCUGAUCUUUCUUAUUGAGGCUCAUGGAGCUUCUGUCCUGGAGAUUCAGUAUACUUCAGUAAUGGCUCUGGAGAAGAGAACUCAGGAUCCUCAAGACCCAAUGGCUCGUGAUGAUAAAAGCCUUUGGGUCUACCGACAUUUUCCCUACGUGCUCAGACAUGUCUGCAUGCAUUUAUUGGCAUAUUUUUCCAUACUCAAAGCAAGUUGCUAUGUGUUAGUACUAAAGCAACCCAUAAUAGUAAAAACGAAUUUCUGCACCAAGAGAAUGAAUCGGCAGCUGAGAAAGUCAGAGUGAAGAGGCCCCAGUAAUAUCUCUACCUACUUGAAGGUUAAAUAUUCCUAAGACUCUAGGAGGAAAGAGGAGAGAAAGUGGGCCCUGUUCUUUCCUCCAGGAUGUAAGGUUUUUCCAGGCUGCUUUGAAAAGUCUCAAUUACUCCAGGCUAUAGAAGAAUACAAUCAGAGGUGAGUUCCCUGAAAUCAAGGACACUGCCUUAUCUAAUGGUGCUGGGAGUGCAGCGAACUUGCUGGGGACAGUUUGAAGGAUCAUCUUAAGCUCUGAAACCAGGUUGCUGCCACCUGCUACAGAUCACCCACAGCCAAUGUCCUUGGCUGAGUGACACAGCUUCCCCGUGACCGCCACUGAUCCAGCCACCAAGUAUGCAGCCCAACCUAUGAAGCUGAGCCCAGAAGUGGCUCAAAAAAACAAGCCACAACCCAGAACUGAAUCACAACAGCCUUUUCCUUUAACACUAUACUUGCUCUAUUUAACCUCCGCCAUGGCCAAUUCAAUAGAUUCACAGAAAAUAUCAGCAGGACGCCUUGGUUCUCAACACCAAGUCUGGAAAGCUGGGUUUACACGCCCCACCUGAGCAAGCCUGAUCGGUGAUUGUGUUGGGCUCAUUCCUCACUUGGCCCCUUCAAGCAGAGAUAGGCCCUGCAAGAACUCUCUCUAGGAAUUGUUUUCUCAAUAUUUUAAAAUCCACUUUUCCUAUAUCCUAUCAAUGGGCACGGAGUGAGAGUGAUACAGGCAUGUGGAAUUUCACAAGGCUAGAUGUGCCAGCUUCAAGACUACUGAGCUUUAGGGGAAACCUGAGGCUCAGAGGUCAUCUUGCCUACAGUGACUAUUUGCAGGACUGAGGUUGGUAUACAGGUCUGUCUGACUUCUCCUUGUAGGCUUUCCCAGAAAUCAAAGCCUCACACGACCCCCUCCUCUAAGGCAUGACAGAACCCAGUUGUCUGUUCAGGCAGGGGGAAGGAGGGGGUGGCCCACCUGGGGGAUUUCAGGGGUGCUGCCACCUGGAAAGUAACCCUCAGGAGCUCACCAGCAGUGCCUGGAACUCAGACCAAAAUCACUCUCUUGGGUGUUUAAAUUGUAAAUAUGUUUACCUGUAUUCAAUCUCACCCUGUUUAUUGUUUGCUUCUCCUCAGUCCACAAAGCAUUCAACACUCACCAUUCUAAAAAUAAUAAAACUGGGCUGGGUGCAGUGGCUCAUGCCUGUAAUCCCAGCACUUUGGGAGGCUGAGGCAGGUGGAUCUCCUAAGGUCAGGCGUUCGAGACCAGCCUGUCCAACAUAAAGAAACCCUAUCUCUACUGAAAAUACAAAAUUAGCCGGGCGUGGUGACACAUGCCUGUAAUCCCACCUACUGGGGAGGCUGAGGCAAGAGAAUUGCUUGAACCCAGGAGGCAGAGGUUGCAGUGAGUCGAGAUCCCGCCAUUGCAUUCCAGGCUAGGCAACAAGAGUGAAACUCUGUCUCAAAAAACAUAAAUAAAUAAUAAAUAAUAAUAAUAAAACUGGCUAGGCAUGAUGGCUUAUGCCUGUAAUCUCAGAAUUUUGGGAGGCUGAGGCAGGAAGAUUGCUUGAGCCCAGGAGUUCAAGACUAGCCUGGAAAACAUAGCAAGAUCCCACCUCUACAAAAAUAAAUAAAAAUAAAUAAAUUAGCUGGGUGUGGUUUUGUGCGCCUGUAGUCCCAGCUACUGGGGAGGCUGAGGUGGGAAGAUCGCCUGAGUCCAGGAGUUCGAGGCAGCAGUGAGCUGUGAUUGCACCACUGCUCUCCAACCUGGGCAACAGAGCACAACCAUGUCUCUUAAAUAAUAAUGACAAUAAUAAAACCAAAAACUUUUCACACCUCUGCCUGCCCCUCUAUUUAUAUUUACAAUCUUACCUUUGAUGUUCCAACUCUUUGGAAAAGUGGGAUCACAGCACCACUGCAUUUUCUUAUCCUCCUAUAACAAGUUCUGGAGUUGCUAAAACAACGUAUUCCUAAGGUGCCUAGUAGGUGACUUCUAAUUGUCACCUGUAAUGGUAUCUUUCAGUCUUCUGCUUACAUAACUGUUCUGUGGCAUUCAGUAUCUACAGGCCACCAUUUCCUUGAACAGUCUUCUUUCUCACCUUCUGACAAAUUCGUUUGUUCUUAUUUAUUUAUAGCAUUUUGAUGAUUCCCCAUCUUCUUUACCUGCAUGCUAGACUGAUCUCCAAUUUGCAAUCCAUCCCUUCUUCUGUUUCUCCCUCUUUACCUCCCUCUCAGCCAAAGAUCUCUCUUUAGAAACCAUCACCCAAGGUAGAGGAAUGAAUCUCUAUGCUUUGACACCUCCUUCUAUUCCUCUUUUCCUCACUCUCCACAUUCAUUCCUACAAAGUCUUUUUUUGUUUUUGUUUUUGUUUUUGAGACAGAGUCUCACUCUGUUGCCCAGGCUGGAGUGCAGUGGCAUGAUCUUGGCUCACUGCAACCUCCACCUCCAGGGUUCAAGCGAUUCUCGUGCCUCAGCCUCCCAAGUAGCUGGGACUACAGGAACCCGCCACUACGCUUAGCUAAUUUUUGUAUUUUUAGUAGAGAUGGGGUUUCCCCAUGUGAGUCAGGCUGGUCUGGAACUCCUGACCUCAAGUGAUUCACCCAUCUUGGCCUCCCAAAGUGCUGGGAUUACAGGCAUGAGCCACUGAGCCCAGCCACAAAGUCUUAUAAAUUCUGCCUUUUAAAAUUCAUCCUGCCGCCUCCAUUAGAUCUGCUCAUGCCCCCUUUUAGGUCACUUUUAAGUAGAAGGCUCCUAGCUGGUCUUCCUGCUCACAAUAUUUCCCCAACCUCCACAUGGCUGUCAAAGAGAUGUUUUAGAAGAACAAAUACAGCAAAUACAGCCACGUUAAGACAUAAAUGCAAGUCUGUCUGACUCCUCCUUACUUACUGUAAGUUCAGGUCUGAAUGCUUCCUGGCUAGUGUGUAAGCCUCUUU
rnacentral:lncRNA from 1 species